rnacentral:rRNA from 1 species
CUAAGGCUCCAGAGGAAGCCACGGCUAACUCUGUGCCAGCAGCCGCGGUAAUACAGAGGCGGCAAGCGUUGUUCGGAAUUAUUGGGCGUAAAGAGCACGUAGGCGGCCUUGCAAGUCAGUUGUGAAAGCCUUCCGCUUAACGGAAGAAUGCCAGCUGAAACUACAGGGCUUGAGUACGGGAGGGGAGAGUGGAACUUCUGGUGGAGCGGUGAAAUGCGUAGAUAUCAGAAGGAACGCCGGCGGCGAAAGCGACUCUCUGGCCCGAAACUGACGCUGAGUGUGCGAAAGCUAGGGGAGCAAACGGGAUUAGAUACCCCGGUAGUCCUAGCCGUAAA